rnacentral:rRNA from 1 species
CAUGUCUUUUUGUUUUAGAUUUAAAGUCUGGCCUGCCCAAUGAAUUAUUUUAAAUAGCCGCAGUAUUUUGACUGUGCAAAGGUAGCAUAAUAAUUAGUUUUUUAAUUGGAAGCUGGAAUGAAUGGUUGGACGAGAAAUUCACUGUCUCUAUUUAAUUUUUAAUUUAAUUUUAUUUUUAAGUUAAAAAGCUUAAAUUAAUUUGAAAGACGAGAAGACCCUAUAGAGUUUAAUAUAAUCUAUUUUUAGUUAUUUUUAGAAUUAUUAUAUAAAUUAUUUAUAGAUAUAUUUUGUUGGGGUGACAGUAAGAUUUAAAAAACUCUUUCUUUUAUAAAUUAUUUAUUUAUAGAUUAUUGAUUCAUUAUUUUUGAUUAUAAGAUUAAAUUACCUUAGGGAUAACAGCGUAAUCUUUUUUGAGAGUUCUUAUCGAAAGGGGGGAUUGCGACCUCGAUGUUGGAUUAAAAUUAAUUACUGGUGCAGAAGUUGGUAAUAUUAAGUCUGUUCGACUUUUAAAUUUUUACAUGAUCUGAGU